UACAGAGGUCUCAAGCGUUUGUUCGGAUUCAUUGGGGCGUAAAGGGUGUGUAGGUGGCGCGCUAAGUCGGGUGUGAAAUUUCGGAGCUUAACUCCGAAACUGCAUUCGAUACUGGCGUGCUUGAGGACUGGAGAGGAGACUGGAAUUCAUGGUGUAGCAGUGAAAUGCGUAGAGAUCAUGAGGAAGACCAGUGGCGAAGGCGGGUCUCUGGACAGUUCCUGACGCUGAGGCACGAAGGCCAGGGGAGCAAACGGG
rnacentral:rRNA from 1 species